GCGCGGGUGCUGAAACCGGUAGACAGGCCAGCUUGAGGGGCUGGUGUCCGCAAGGACGUGGAGGUUCAAAUCCUCUCCCGCGCA
rfam:Parcubacteria bacterium GW2011_GWA2_45_30 TX07_C0051, whole genome shotgun sequence.